UGUGAGUUUGGAUUACGUAGGUCAAGGAUCAGUAAUCUACGGCUCAUGGAAAAAUCCAGCCUCCUGCCUGUUUUUGUAAACAAAGUUUUACUGGAAUGCAUUCAAGCUGAUGUGUUUACAUAUUAUCUAUAGAUGCUUUCACACUACACCAGCAGAGCUGAGAAGCUGUGACACAGACCGUACUAACCGCAAAGGCGGUUUUAUUCUAAGAGAAAAAGUUUUCUCUUAGAAAAAAACUUUGCUUUUUAAGGUAGAUUUGCUUUUUAUAGUAUGUUUAUUUUAAAAAUUGUAGUUUCCUUUAAAGAAAAAGUGCUUUUUCUCUAGGUCAGCCUAAGAUGACUCAGAAAGGGUGUGUGAUUAAAUAUGGUGGCAUUUGUUAAAAGGUAGAAAACUAUGGAUAGCACUAAUCUAUAGCAUUAAUAAACUAGCAAAACUCAGAACAUCUUCAGUAUCAACAUACCUUAGAUACGGAGUUUUUCCUGACUUCUUGUACAGCUUCAGAGUGUGAGGCUGACCCAAACUGAGAUUUAGGUGUCAAAUACCUGAAAGAAAAGUUUACCAAAGUUUGAAUGCUUUCAAAGACAGGUGGUAUAUACUCAACAUAAUAAAGCUAUUUAUACCGAA
rnacentral:antisense_RNA from 1 species